UUGGAACUUCCCAGGGAGCCAGCUGAAGUGCAGAAGUGAAGGAAAACUUUUGCAGUGAGAAGAACAUGAACUCACAGCCACCGAGGCCUGACGGGUUCCUGCAGUGAGAGCUCAGCGCGCGUCCACAGAGAGUGAGAGGGGAGAUGUGGGAAUUGGAAAACCAGAAACUUGCAGAGACACCCAAAGAUUGGAUCUGCAGCCUGGGAAGAAGCUUGUAUUGAUGUAGAAAUACAACACACAGGCAUUAACAGGAAAAUAAUACAUAAAGCAGGUAGAGCUGUGAUGGUUUCUAAUUAAUGGCCAAUCACACUCAGCUGGCUCACAC